UGUGAAGGGCAGUGGCUGGUGGCUGUGUGCUGUUUCUGUUGUUUGUAAACACAUGAAUAGCUUCAUAAUGUGUUUAUGUAUUGUGUUUCAAGCUGUUUGCAAAAAUGACACGUAUUUACAGGAGCUGGCUUUUGGAAUAUUCUGUGGUGAAAGAUUUGUAAUUAAGGCAGUUACGAACACUGUAUUUCAUAAGAGGGACAUGCGCUGAAACUGUUGUCUGAAGACAUCCCGAGCUUGGUACACUGCAGAGCCUUGGUAUUGUGUUUGCACUUUGGGAAUUUCGGUAGAUUCUUUGGCACAUACCUGGGAAAGAGUAAGGCUUAAGUCCAAACAAAUGGAUUUACAUAGAUCCAUCACAUGCAGCCAUUGUACCAGUAUGCACGAGAUUUUGAUGAUGAAACUGGAGGAACUGUUGAACUACAAGUUUCACUGCUGUCCAUUUUACACAACAAAAUUAAAAUUUACUUAAUUACUCACGAUGUAAAAUCUUUGAAGCACUACC